rnacentral:rRNA from 1 species
UAAGCUGCAACUGACAUUGAGGCUCGAAAGUGUGGGUAUCAAACAGGAUUAGAUACCCUGGUAGUCCACACGGUAAACGAUGAAUACUCGCUGUUUGCAAGCGGCCAAGCGAAAGCGUUAAGUAUUCCACCUGGGGAGUACGCCGGCAACGGUGAAACUCAAAGGAAUUGACGGGGGCCCGCACAAGCGGAGGAGCAUGUGGUUUAAUUCGAUGAUACGCGAGGAACCUUACCCGGGCUUAAAUUGAAGGUGCUGCAUGGUUGUCGUCAGCUCGUGCCGUGAGGUGUCGGCUUAAGUGCCAUAACGAGCGCAACCCUUGUUGUCAGUUACGACUCUGGCAAGACUGCCAUCGUAAGAUGGAGGAAGGUGGGGAUGACGUCAAAUCAGCACGGCCCUUACGUCCGGGGCUACACACGUGUUACAAUGGGGGGUACAGAGGGCCGCUACCACGCGAGUGGAUGCCAAUCCCUAAAACCCCUCUCAGUUCGGACUGGAGUCUGCAACCCGACUC